CUAAGGUUUCCAGAGGAAGGCUCGUCCGCUCUGGGUUAGUCGGGUCCUAAGCUGAGGCCGACAGGCGUAGGCGAUGGAUAACAGGUUGAUAUUCCUGUACCACCUAUAAUCGUUUUAAUCGAUGGGGGGACGCAGUAGGAUAGGCGAAGCGUGCGAUUGGAUUGCACGUCUAAGCAGUAAGGCUGAGUAUUAGGCAAAUCCGGUACUCAUUAAGGCUGAGCUGUGAUGGGGAGAAGACAUUGUGUCUUCGAGUCGUUGAUUUCACACUGCCGAGAAAAGCCUCUAGAUAGAAAAUAGGUGCCCGUACCGCAAACCGACACAGGUAGUCAAGAUGAGAAUUCUAAGGUGAGCGAGCGAACUCUCGUUAAGGAACUCGGCAAAAUGACCCCGUAACUUCGGGAGAAGGGGUGCUCUUUAGGGUUAACGCCCAGAAGAGCCGCAGUGAAUAGGCCCAAGCGACUGUUUAUCAAAAACACAGGUCUCUGCUAAACCGUAAGGUGAUGUAUAGGGGCUGACGCCUGCCCGGUGCUGGAAGGUUAAGAGGAGUGGUUAGCUUCUGCGAAGCUACGAAUCGAAGCCCCAGUAAACGGCGGCCGUAACUAUAACGGUCCUAAGGUAGCGAAAUUCCUUGUCGGGUAAGUUCCGACCCGCACGAAAGGCGUAACGAUUUGGGCACUGUCUCAACGAGAGACUCGGUGAAAUCAUAGUACCUGUGAAGAUGCAGGUUACCCGCGACAGGACGGAAAGACCCCGUGGAGCUUUACUGUAGCCUGAUAUUGAAAUUCGGCACAGCUUGUACAGGAUAGGUAGGAGCCUUUGAAACGUGAGCGCUAGCUUACGUGGAGGCGCUGGUGGGAUACUACCCUAGCUGUGUUGGCUUUCUAACCCGCACCACUUAUCGUGGUGGGAGACAGUGUCAGGCGGGCAGUUUGACUGGGGCGGUCGCCUCCUAAAAGGUAACGGAGGCGCUCAAAGGUUCCCUCAGAAUGGUUGGAAAUCAUUCAUAGAGUGUAAAGGCAUAAGGGAGCUUGACUGCGAGACCUACAAGUCGAGCAGGGUCGAAAGACGGACUUAGUGAUCCGGUGGUUCCGCAUGGAAGGGCCAUCGCUCAACGGAUAAAAGCUACCCCGGGGAUAACAGGCUUAUCUCCCCCAAGAGUUCACAUCGACGGGGAGGUUUGGCACCUCGAUGUCGGCUCAUCGCAUCCUGGGGCUGUAGUCGGUCCCAAGGGUUGGGCUGUUCGCCCAUUAAAGCGGUACGCGAGCUGGGUUCAGAACGUCGUGAGACAGUUCGGUCCCUAUCCGUCGUGGGCGUAGGAAAUUUGAGAGGAGCUGUCCUUAGUACGAGAGGACCGGGAUGGACAUACCUCUGGUGUACCAGUUGUCGUGCCAACGGCAUAGCUGGGUAGCUAUGUGUGGACGGGAUAAGUGCUGAAAGCAUCUAAGCAUGAAGCCCCCCUCAAGAUGAGAUUUCCCAACUUCGGUUAUAAGAUCCCUCAAAGAUGAUGAGGUUAAUAGGUUCGAGGUGGAAGCAUGGUGACAUGUGGAGCUGACGAAUACUAA
rnacentral:rRNA from 1 species